GGAAUUUCUCCCGCACGACGUCCGUGCUAAUACGCGAAGUGAAAUGAAGUCGAAUAUUAUUAGACAUCACUUUGGCCUCCUUUUACUUUGAAGAUACGAGUUCAGAUGAAAUUUUAAUCCGUUUCCGUCUGUGCGUCCUGUUAGCCGUGAGGUCACUUAGGCACGUGUACUGCGCGCUGCCGUCGAGGAAUUUGGUUGCAAACGUUUAAAUAAAUAAAUUAAGCAAAGAAAUUAUACAAGGCACAUUAAAUAACCUGAAAGAGAAAUCUUAAAGAUCAAGGAACAUGUCACGGGUAAUAUUUACAGACGUGUGACACCAAGGAUGUUAAUGAUGUUAAGCAGUCGGCGCGAAAGAAACGAAAUAUAAACCCAAAAAAGGCCAACCGAUGACUUAAUUCAGCUUCGGGACGUUUUCUGUAUAACUGUUAGACAGGAAACGCUGUAAUCCCAUAACUGAACUAAGCAAAUCCGGUGACACCUGAGUGACAGAAAGUUUCGAUUCACAUGUGAGGCCGCGUUUUAUGGCCACGCCCACUCGCUUACAUAUUCAAAUAGGUAUCGGUUCCUGAUACACGGUUUCGGUUUCUCAUGAGUCUACGACCGAGGGGAUAACGAAAGAACAACGUGACAACACGAUGUUUUAUAUCAUCAUCUUUAUUUGGGUGGUGUUCUGCAUUGAUGGUCAUGCCAUUAAAGAGCUGCACCUGGUGCUUCACUCUCUUGCUGCUACCCUCUAUGAGUUCUACCUUGCCGUUUUGUGCGUGCGCCGUGGCACGCUGCUCAUCCUCAGAUCACACUUCCCCCAGGAUGGGAGAAAUGGCGCCGCGCAGUUCGCGGAAGGCGUCUGUGAAGCAUGCCGGACGCUGCCGUACCUGCUCGGCGCGGCGACUGGCCUGUGCGUGGCGGGCAGCCACGCCCUGAAGGGGGCGCUGUUCCUCGUACCGUCGACCUUCGGCUUGCUGUUUGUGGACGACGCCGGGAUGGAGAGGUGGAGAAAGGAGCGGAAACGAGCCAGGAAGAACGCGCAGGUGGAGCGGUACCCAUCCGUGUACUGCUAUGACCCCAUGACCUUCCCGAGACUGAGGACUGGGAAAAUGUACUUCCAAGACUGACUGACUAUGCAACACAAUCUAAUGUAAUCACAAGAAAUAUGCAGACAAAUGAUUCUUUAAAUGCACUUUAAUUUUUUUUAAUCAUUAAUUAAUCAUUAAUCAUUAAAAAUGUUUCAUGUUGCCUUAUACAAAAUCCACACUUAUUGCAUGCUAAUUCACAGUGAUUUGAUUGUUUAGUGGUGUUUUGGUCAAGUAUUUCCUAUUAUAAAUUAUUGACAUUUAAAAUAUCUACAACUGUUCAUCAAAAACUACAGAUGUUCCAGCCACAAGGACGGAACGGCUGCUAAUUAUUGCGGAUUGUGUGCUGUUUUGUGUUUUAGUUUAAGAUUAACUUAGUUUAUUAGUUAUUAGUUUCAUUAAUUAUUAAUUAUAUAUAAUAUUCAUUCAUUAGUUUCCGGGUUACUUGAGUGUAUUAGCUUAAUACUUAUUAUUAUUACUAUUAACCGCAUUAUUAUUCCUGUUAACGUAACUGUUACACACUUGGUGGUGUGUGGUUGCUUCUCGCAAAGUAGAUCCGAUUUCCUUGGAGGGAUCAGGGUGUAGAGGCCGUCGAUAGAGAAACGUGUCAGUGGUGUAGCUGAUUCAGCGAUUGCUCAUACGCCAGACAGGAGGGGUUUCCGGCCCACAGCGGCAGGGGUUGGGUGUUAGAAACUUGAUUGGACUGUGCAUCGGAUGUUUGGAAGCGCUGGGCCAGGAUGCUGUGGCGCUCCCAAAGCCUCGGACGCCGUCACAGCCUGGCACAUGCCUUCAUCUGAGGAGUCACCCUGCCGACUGUAGCCACGGAGAGAGGAGAUGUUACUAUAGCAUCUGUAGUACAGAUGACUGGAAAGG
ensembl:lncRNA